rnacentral:lncRNA from 1 species
GGGUGAUACAGUGAUAGUUGUCAAAUUGACUUUUUUGGGCUUCAUAUGUUCUAUUUUGAUAAGAAACUAAAAAAAAUAACAAUUACACAUGUGUUGUACAUUUGGUUGCUAUGGUUACGAUGGCACCAUAACAACCCUUUAAUUUCAGUCCUAAAACCUUGAAAAUUCUGUUUUUCAUCUCAGAUUUUUUUAUAAACUGCUAAUUAAUUUCAAUAAAACAAAUAUAUG